CUGUCAGAGCGCGCGUGUAUCGUGAGAUGUUAUAAUAGCGAGACCCAGUUCUACGAAGAAAUAGGGCACGCCUAGUGUUCGUCUAUAAAUGGCGCUGAGAGUGGAAGGACAUCCCUUUCGGCCUUUAGAGAUCAAGUCUUGGGUUUGGGGAGGUAUGUCGCAGCUGAACUUAAGAAUGACGGAGGGCACCCCCAGAGUGGAGCUGCGGCUUAAUUGACUCAACACGGGGAAACUACCAGGUCCAGACAUAGUAAGGAUGACAGAUUGAUAGCUUUUUUUUGAUUUAUGGGUGGUGGUGCAUGGCGUUUUUAGUGGUGGAGUGAAUUGUUUGGUAAUUCCGAUAACGAACGAGACCUAAACAUGAUAAAUAGUCGUCUUCAUUUUAUGGGGUAAGACUUCUUAGAGGGACUAUGCAUAUCAAGGGCGGGGGGCGUGCGAGGCAAUAACAAAAAAAGAGGAGGACCUUAUAUGUCCUGGGCUGUUUUUUUUUUUUGCCCUGAUGCAUACAACAAGUGCCUAGCUAGACAUAGUAUGGCAAUCUGGAAUAUGCAUCGUGAAUAGGGAAUAGAUCUUUGCAAUUAUAGAUCUUGAACGAGGAAUUCCUAGUAAGUGCAAGUCAUCAUCUUGCAUUGAUUAUGUCCCUGCCCUUUGUACACACCGCCCGUCGCUCCUACCGAUACCGGGUGAUUCGGUGAACCUUUUGGACCUCGCAAGAGGAAAGAUAAGUAAACUUUAUCAGAUUAAGUAUCUAGAGCACCGCGAGGGUGAAGCUCGAAUCACUGGCGUGC
rnacentral:rRNA from 1 species